GUGGGUGUUGGUGAAACGGUUAUCACCCCGGGCUUUUACCCCGAGAGUUGAGGGUUCGAAUCCCUUGCGCCCUACG
rnacentral:tRNA from 1 species